rnacentral:lncRNA from 1 species
CCCACACACACUCCAGCCCAGCUGUCUACAGUGAUAAAUGAUGGGCCUUUCUUUAAAUUUCCUUUCUGCUCUGCGUGAGGACUGGCCAGUGUGGAUAUGUACUCGACACGGAUAAAUGGCUCUGGCAAGCCCACCAGACUGUCCACGUGGCAACAGAUGGUCCAGCUCAAAGCUUUUGUUGUGCUAAUGUUGGAACUUGCUGCUACCUGAAGCAGUUAUCGUUUCAUAAACAAUGAUGCUGCCACUGCUCUGUGGAUAAACUGUCCUUUAUACUUUGCAGGGCCCACCAUGGGUGUUGACGGCUUCAUGAUGGUAAGAAGAGAACCCCCAGUCAUCCAGCUGGCGUGGCAGCCAAAGAGAAACACUUAAUCGGAUGGAGAUGAGAGCCCACCAGAGCAUAUAAUAGUCGCUGCUCCAAGAAGGCUGAGAUUCUAGGAUGCACGCACAGCCCACUCUCAACUCAUGACCUCCUCUGUGCCCAGGGAGCAGAACCUGCUAAUGAGAGGAACAGAAAAACCCACACAGAGCUCACAUUCAAGUGCAGAGGACAGACACAUACAUGAGUCACCACAGCCCAAGGCAGCAUGGCCAUGGCAGAGAAAGAGCCCCACUUGUUCUUCAAGAAUG